AUUUACAUAGUAUAAAAAUUAUAAUUGACUUCCAAUCAAAAGAUCUAAAAUCCUAGUGUAAAUA
rnacentral:tRNA from 1 species